rnacentral:ncRNA from 1 species
CUUAAAUUAUUUAUUUUAACAUUAAUUUAUAUGUAUAUUUUUGUAAUUAAAUUUUUCUAAAUGAUUAUUUUAAUUUGCAGUGAAUAAUAUUAUUAAUAUUAAGUUAUUUUAGAUUUAGUAAAUGUUAUAUAAGGUUUAGUAAAAACUGUGCCAGCAUCUGCGGUUAUACAGUAAAUUCAAAUAAAUAUUAUCGGUUUUAAAAUAAUUAAUAUUAUUAUUAUUAUUAAUUAAUUAAGGUAUUAUAAGGUGAAAUAUUUAUAAUACCUUAAUAAUAAUAUUUAAGUGUGAUUGUUAUGAAAUUAAAGAUAUAAACUAGGAUUAGAUACCCUAUUAUUUUUAAAGUAAAUUUUUAGCCUGAGUAUUAUUAGUUAUUAUCUUUAAACUUAAAGAAUUUGGCGGUAUUAUAUCUAUUUAGAGGAAUCUGUCAUAUAAUCGACAAUCCGCGUUGAACCUUACUUAUAUAAAUUUUUGUAUACCGCUGUUUUUGAAUAUAUUUUUAGAUUAUUUUCUUAAUAUUAAAUUAUUUAAUAUUUCAAGUCAAGGUGCAGUAAUAUAUAAGUUAAUGAUGGAUUACAAUAAAUUAUAUUUAUAUGGAUUGUUAUAUGUAAUAUUUAACUUGAAAGUGGAUUUAAUAGUAAUUUUAUAUAUAUUAUUAAAAUGAUUUAUAGCUCUAUAAUAUGUACACAUCGCCCGUCACUCUCGUUAUUAAGAUGAGAUAAGUCGUAACAAAGUAGGUGUAUCGGAAGAUGUACCUAGAAAGU